rnacentral:rRNA from 1 species
GAUGAACGCUGGCGGCGUGCUUAACACAUGCAAGUCGAACGAAGCACUUUAUUUGAUUUCCUUCGGGACUGAUUAUUUUGUGACUGAGUGGCGGACGGGUGAGUAACGCGUGGGUAACCUGCCUUGUACAGGGGGAUAACAGUUGGAAACGGCUGCUAAUACCGCAUAAGCGCACAGCAUCGCAUGAUGCAGUGUGAAAAACUCCGGUGGUAUAAGAUGGACCCGCGUUGGAUUAGCUAGUUGGUGAGGUAACGGCCCACCAAGGCGACGAUCCAUAGCCGAGCUGGGAGGGUGACCGGCGACAUUGGGACUGAGACACGGCCCAAACUCGUACGGGAGGCAGGAGUGGGGAAUAUUGCACAAUGGGCGAAAGCCUGAUGCAGCGACGCCGCGUGAGCGAAGAAGUAUUUCGGUAUGUAAAGCUCUAUCAGCAGGGAAGAUAAUGACGGUACCUGACGAAGAAGCACCGGCUAAAUACGUG